GAUGAACGCUAGCUACAGGCUUAACACAUGCAAGUCGAGCGGGACUCGUUUCGGGAGUCUAGCGGCAGACGGGUGAGUAACACGUAUCCAACCUUUCCCUUACUCGGGCAUAGCCUCUGGAAACGGAGAGUAAUUCCCGAUGUGGUGCACGAAUAGCAUUUUUUGCGCACGAAAGAUUCAUCGGUAAGGGGUGGGGAUGCGUUCCAUUAGGUAGUAGGCGGGGCAACGGCCCACCUAGCCGAUGAUGGAUAGGGGUUCUGAGAGGAAGGUCCCCCACAUUGGAACUGCGACACGGUCCAAACUCC
rnacentral:rRNA from 1 species